GCCAGGUAUGGUGGCACAUGCCUGUAAUCCCAGCAGUUCAGGAGGCUGAGGUAGGAGGAUGGAGUUCAAAUUCAGCUUCAGCAAAAGUGAGGCGCUAAGCAACUCAGUGAUACCCUGUCUCUA
rnacentral:sRNA from 1 species